GUCGAGAAUCUUCCACCAAUGUGCGAAAGCAUGAUGGAGCGACGCCGCGUGGGGGAUGAAGGCCUUCGGGUCGUAAACUCCUGUCACUUGGACCUAAAACCGUAGGGUUAAUAACCUUUGCGCUUGAAGUUCCUUGAGAGGAAGCACCGGCUAAAUUCGUGCCAGCAGCCGCGGUAAUACGAAUGGUGCAAGCGUUGUUCGGAAUCACUGGGCAUAAAGCGCGCGUAGGCGGCGGUAUAAGUCAGCUGUGAAAUCCCUCGGCUCAACCGAGGAACUGCAGCUGAAACUGUGCCGCUGGAGUGUGGGAGGGGAGAACGGAAUUCCUGGUGGAGCGGUGAAAUGCAUAGAUAUCAGGAGGAACGCCGGAGGCGAAAGCGGUUCUCUGGCCCACAACUGACGCUGAGGUGCGAAAGCUAGGGGAGCAAACAGG
rnacentral:rRNA from 1 species